rnacentral:rRNA from 1 species
GAUGAACGCUGGCGGCGUGCCUAAUACAUGCAAGUCGAGCGAACAGACGAUGAGCUUGCUCCUCUGACGUUAGCGGCGGACGGGUGAGUAACACGUGGAUAACCCACCUAUAAGACUGGGAUAACUUCGGGAAACCGGAGCUAAUACCGGAUAAUAUAUUGAACCGCAUGGUUCAAUAGUGAAAUACGGUUUUGCUGUCACUUAUAGCUGGAUCCGCGCCGCAUGAGCUAGUUGGUAAGGUAACGGCUUACCAAGGCAACGAUGCGUAGCCGACCUGAGAGGGUGGUCGGCCACCCUGGAAGUGGGACGCGGUCCAGACUCCUACGGGAGGCAGCAGUAGGGAAUCGUCCGCAAUGGGCGGAAGCCUGACGGAGCGGCGCCGCGUGAGUGAUGAAGGUCUUCGGAUCGUAAAACUCUGUUAUUGGGGAAAAACAAAUGUGUAAGUAACUAUGCACGUCUUGACGGUACCUAAUCAGGAAGCCACGGCUAACUACGUG